AUACGUUUAUGUACGAGUUUUUAUGUAGACAUAGGUUUUCAUUUUUCUUGGCUAUGUACCUAGGAUUGGGAUUUCUGGGUCAUAUGGUAAAUCUCUGUUUAUUCAUCUGAGGAACUGCCAGACGACUUUCAUAACCCUGACAGUCUUGAGGAGUACAGGCUCAGUCUGUUGCUUCUCUUGUGAUUUGACUGUGGUUACAGAUUUUGAGAAGGAAUACCACUAGUUCCGGUGCCCUUCUUGUCGCAUCAUAUCUGGGAGUAUACGAUGCCUGCAUGAUGUCACUGGUGAUGUUAACCUUCAUCAUUUGGUUAAGGAUGGUGUUUGUCAUGUUUCUCCAGUGUACAGUAACUAUUUUUCCUGUAUCGAGAGAGCAUAUGGAGAGAAGAAGGAAAACACAUGUUUCUAAUUUCACUAAAUAUGUUUCCUUUGCGCUCCUGAGGGGCUUGAUGAAAACCUUAUACUAUGUCUGCUGGACAGGACACUGGAGCAAGAGAUACUGGAGAUCUCUCUGCAUCCUGGCACCAAACCCAAACCAGUAACUCUGGGACAUUCUUGACUGAGGGUUAACCUCAGAAACCUGGUAAUCCAUAUGAUCCCACAGCUAUGCCUCAUGGCCCAAAGGGCAGGAUUUCAUCUCCACCGUCCUUUUCUUCAACGUGAAGGGCUGUUGACCCUACUCACAGAGGGCUCUGUGUUGAACCAAGGUGCUUCAUGCAACAGUCCCAGCUGAGCUCCCAGCAGAUGCCAGCACCAUUCGCUAUCCAUGAUAAGCCUCUGAUGCAAUCACUUGUGUUAAGAAAUUGAGAGAAUGUUGAUAUAAACUGCUCCCUGAGCCAUAUGGAAAGCUGUAUCUUCUGCAGGUUGCUUGUUUGUCUGCUUCUUGUUAUUGGGCCUCGAGAAAAUGCAGCCGGACCUGGCUUGGUUCCAGGAACAACAAGAAUAAAGACUUGCUGGGUUCCCACCACACAUGUUGUCGUGAGCUCACUACACACCCUGUCCCUGGAGCAUUGGGAUGCAGCCUGGAGCCAGGAAGAUGACAGUGUUGUGCACAGCUCUGCACUGGUAAUGCACUAUGCAUGAGUCGCCCUCAGGACCUUGUGUUACUGCUGCUGGUUGGCUGGCCAGGCACUGCUGGAUACAGCAAGGGCACUGGCGAUAGCAGGCAGCAGCUUCAGUCCACACCUGCCAACUUCAGCCUAGCCAAGGGCACCCACAUCAGCACGUCCACAGCCUGAGGUCCCCUGGGUUCCACCAAGGACCUCUAAUGCAAGCUGAUAUGGGGCCCUGUGGCCAGCAGGGACCCCUACUAGACCAUCCAGACUUUGCACUAUAAAUCUUACUCAAGGCACCAUACCUGCUGAUAACAGGACCUUAAAGAAGUUAAGAUAUGCAACACUCCAACCAUAAAUCUUCCCCAAGGCAGUUGACCCUAACAUCCACAUGCACAGGAAACCCCAGAAUGGCCACUAUAUGACCUUCCUGGGCCAGCAGUAGUGAGCAACACCACUAUCUUGAACCCACUGAGCAUGGACCAAGACUUCAACCAGGACCAAGCAUGCACAGACACCAUAACAGGAAGGAAGAAAUCACUCCAGGAGGCAGAGGUUCCUGAUGUCAAUCUCUGUACCCUACCCAAUAAAAAACGCUGAGAAGCUCCCCUUGGGGAGCCAGCUGGAGGACUCUUUUUCCUGUGCCAUCUCCCUUAUGCCCAGUGUUUCUGGGCAUAAGUCUUAAUAAACAUUGCCUGGGAAAAGUUUGCCUGGCCUCAUGUUAAUUCCUGUUACCCUGAGAACCAAGAACCUCCCACUGGUAACACCAUCUCCUAAUAAAGUCACAAUGGCAAUCAAUCAAAUUUCAACAUGCAUUUUGGAGGGGGCAAACAUUCUAACCAUGGCAGCAUAUUUCACAUGUACAUUUCUAAAUACAAAUAUAAUGAUCCCACU
rnacentral:lncRNA from 10 species